UGGGGAAUAUUGCACAAUGGGCGGAAGCCUGAUGCAGCGACGCCGCGUUGGGGAUGAAGGCCUUCGGGUUGUAAACUCCUUUCGACAGGGACGAAGCUUUUGUGACGGUACCUGUAUAAGAAGCACCGGCUAACUACGUGCCAGCAGCCGCGGUAAUACGUAGGGUGCGAGCGUUGUCCGGAAUUACUGGGCGUAAAGAGCUCGUAGGUGGUUUGUCGCGUCGUCUGUGAAAUUCCGGGGCUUAACUCCGGGCGUGCAGGCGAUACGGGCUGACUUGAGUGCUGUAGGGGAGACUGGAAUUCCUGGUGUAGCGGUGAAAUGCGCAGAUAUCAGGAGGAACACCGAUGGCGAAGGCAGGUCUCUGGGCAGUAACUGACGCUGAGGAGCGAAAGCAUGGGUAGCGAACAGG
rnacentral:rRNA from 1 species